GCUCUGAAUGUGGAGGUGCAAACAGUUAAACUUAAAACUCAUUCGAAGUCGAAGUCAUGUUGAUGUUUUACAUUUAAGGACUACAGAGAGCCAGGUAAAGUAUUAUUCAUCAUCUGUAUUUAAUUUAAAUAUGUGGAAUUAAUGUCUAAAUACUGUAUUUGGGUAUAAAACAAAUCAGCACAUAUUUAAUUGACAAAGGUUUGGAGGCAAUGUGGUAAGAAUCCAUGCAUGUGGUUGUUCUACUCUAUAUUACAAUGCACAUUACACAUACAUCCAUAUAAAUUGGUUACAGAUACAUUGAACCACCAACUAAAAACAUUUAGCCAAAAGCAAACUCAUGUUCCCUCUACACCAGGGGUGUCACACUCAAGUUUCAGAGAGGGCCAAAAUUAAGAAAUGGUACUGAGUGCCAAACAGUCUCAUAGUGCUGUCUUAAUAUUAUUAUUAUGGACACGCCAGCUCCACUUUUGAGGCAAACUGGAUAUAAUUGUACCACGGCCAGAUGUAGCCCACAGAGUUUGAGUUUGACAUGCCUGCUCUACACCAUAUGUGAUCAUUUUAAAUAUAUUUGUUUUAACUUAAGAGACUCGUAGUGAAUUUGUGUUUUAAUACAGGUAAAUGCAGAAUUCACCCUCAUCACCACAGUCCCCCUGUUCUCAACCUUUAUGUCCCGACUGGAUCAUUACUAUAGCCAGCUAUUGAGGGUAUUCAAAAAGAAGGGGGGAACAGCAAGACGUGAUAUCGACGUAAUCAUUGCAGAAAUGGACAUGAAUCCCAGUGUUGAAGUACGACAGACAUGCAUCCUAAAGGCGUUGUGCGUCUACUUAAAUGAAAAGCCUGACAGCCUUAUUAAGGAGUACUGGGCUACUGAGGAUAUUGGUAUUGAUGCAAUGACAGAAAUGGAGAGACUGGCUUUGGGUGUCUACAUUGUUCGAUAUGAUGGAGCAGAUGCUUCAGAUCCACCUGAGGAUGUUGGCGUCGUCAUUGAAGGCUGCACAGUGCUGCGAGAUCUGAGAGAGGUUGCAAAUGGAUGUGCAGUCCUGUUUGGCUUGAUCUAGUGUUUAAACUUGAGCUAUCCCAAGGAGCUGCGAUACACUUUCGAAUUUCUUCAGAAAGUGUCUAUGGAAUUGGAUGGGAACAAGCUCUCCACUAAAGUGCAGGUCCUCAAAAACAAACUGCAUGAGUAAAAUCACCUGCACCAGACAAGACUGGACCUGGCUUUGGACACUUUAAUUGUGUUGACUGUUACUUUAUUUUUGGACUGCUGCUAGACAAAAUAAAGCUGUGAUCAAUGAUGGUUUGUAAUAAGCA
ensembl:lncRNA